CCCCGCCGCGGGGUGGUGCUCUGGCUGCGGCAACCGUUGGAGGGCUGCCCCGGGGAGGCAGCGAAGCGCCACCGGUCCCUUAAGCAUCUUCUCAAGUAUAUUCUACGCUAAGAGGAAUGACUGCACCAUUUUCCUGAACUAUGGCAGUCAGACCUGGUAGCAGUAACUUCUCUACAGAACCCCCAAACCUGGCAAGAAUGGUUCAGAUUUUUUAUGGCUUCAUCCCCACCCAGAAGUGAUGCUAUCAGCAGAGGUCACUCUGAAGUCUGACAACAUGAUUAUAUCUUUGGGCAGCUCCCAAGUGUCCAAAUUUCAUAAAGAAGUAAAACUGUACAUUUUU